GGAGCGGUAGUUCAGUUGGUUAGAAUAACCGGCCUGUCACGCCGGGGGUCGCGGGUUCGAGUCCCGUCCGCUCCGCCA
rnacentral:tRNA from 1 species